rnacentral:rRNA from 1 species
CCUACGGGGGGCUGCAGUGGGGAAUUUUCCGCAAUGGGCGAAAGCCUGACGGAGCAAUACCGCGUGAGGGAUGAAGGCCUAUGGGUUGUAAACCUCUUUUUUCAGGGAGGAAUAAAGUGACGUGUACCUGAAGAAUAAGCAUCGGCUAACUCCGUGCCAGCAGCCGCGGUAAGACGGGGGAUGCAAGUGUUAUCCGGAAUCACUGGGCGUAAAGCGUCUGUAGGUGGUUAAAUAAGUCAACUGUUAAAUCUUGAGGCUCAACCUCAAAAUCGCAGUCGAAACUGUUUGACUAGAGUAUAGUAGGGGUAAAGGGAAUUUCCAGUGGAGCGGUGAAAUGCGUAGAGAUUGGAAAGAACACCUAUGGCGAAGGCACUUUACUGGGCUAUUACUAACACUGAGAGACGAAAGCUAGGGUAGCAAAUGGGAUUAGAUACCCCGGUAGUC